rnacentral:rRNA from 1 species
UACGUAGGGUGCGAGCGUUGUCCGGAAUUACUGGGCGUAAAGAGUUCGUAGGCGGUUUGUCGCGUCGUUCGUGAAAACUUGGGGCUUAACUCCAAGCGUGCGGGCGAUACGGGCAGACUUGAGUACUACAGGGGAGACUGGAAUUCCUGGUGUAGCGGUGAAAUGCGCAGAUAUCAGGAGGAGCACCGGUGGCGAAGGCGGGUCUCUGGGUAGUAACUGACGCUGAGGAACGAAAGCGUGGGUAGCGAACAGG